GUGGGGAAUAUUGGACAAUGGGCGCAAGCCUGAUCCAGCCAUGCCGCGUGAGUGAUGAAGGCCCUAGGGUUGUAAAGCUCUUUCACCGGUGAAGAUAAUGACGGUAACCGGAGAAGAAGCCCCGGCUAACUUCGUGCCAGCAGCCGCGGUAAUACGAAGGGGGCUAGCGUUGUUCGGAAUUACUGGGCGUAAAGCGCACGUAGGCGGACAUUUAAGUCAGGGGUGAAAUCCCAUAGCUCAACUCUGGAACUGCCUUUGAUACUGGGUGUCUUGAGUAUGGAAGAGGUAAGUGGAAUUCCGAGUGUAGAGGUGAAAUUCGUAGAUAUUCGGAGGAACACCAGUGGCGAAGGCGGCUUACUGGUCCAUUACUGACGCUGAGGUGCGAAAGCGUGGGGAGCAAACAGGAUUAGAUACCCGAGUAGUCC
rnacentral:rRNA from 1 species